rnacentral:rRNA from 1 species
GACGAACGCUGGCGGCGUGCCUAAUACAUGCAAGUAGAACGCUGAAGGAGGAGCUUGCUCUUCUGGAUGAGUUGCGAACGGGUGAGUAACGCGUAGGUAACCUGCCUGGUAGCGGGGGAUAACUAUUGGAAACGAUAGCUAAUACCGCAUAACAGUAGAUGUUGCAUGACAUUUUCUUAAAAGGUGCAAUUGCACCACUACCAGAUGGACCUGCGUUGUAUUAGCUAGUUGGUGGGGUAACGGCUCACCAAGGCGACGAUACAUAGCCGACCUGGGAGGGUGAACGGCCCCACUGGGACUGAGACACGGCCCAGACUCCUACGGGAAGCAGCAGGAGGGAAUCUUCGGCAAUGGACGGAAGUCUGGCCGAGCAACGCCGCGGGAGUGAAGAAGGUUUUCGGAUCGUAAAGCUCUGUUGUAAGAGAAGAACGAGUGUGAGAGUGGAAAGUUCACACUGUGACGGUAUCUUAACAGAAAGGGGCGGCUAACUACGUG